rnacentral:lncRNA from 1 species
CCUGCCGCGCCCUUCCGGCAGCUCCUGCAGCCGUAGCCCCGGCCGUGCGCCCCGUCCUUGGUGCUGCUCAGCGUGCGCACCGGGUCCCCGGGGUCCCAGAGAUGGCUUGGCCUCCUGCGGCCUCGCAGGUCCUGCCCCAGUGGCUGUGGCGCGCUGCACACCGAAGGAGACUGUUGAUAUCCUGAAUGGUGAAAUUGAGGAGGAGAGGAAAAUCCAGAAGCAUAAAACCCUCCCUAAGAUGUCUGGAGGAUGGGAGCGGCAGUUAAAUGGGACAGAAGCUAAAUUAGUGGGAAAAGCUGCCGGGGAAAGAUCGCUGUCACUUUCAACAUUAACAACAGCAUCCCACCGACACUUGAUGGCAAGGAGGAACCCUCGAAAGGGCAGCAAGUUGGAGAACAGGAGCCUGAAUUGACAUCACCUCCCAAUUUCGUGGUCCAAGUUUUGAAGAGUGGUGGCAAGAAGGCCCUUGUGCUGGACUGUCACUACCCAGAGGAUGAGGGUGGGCCAGAAGAGGAGGUUGAGAGUGACCUUUUCUCUAUCAGGGAAGUAACUUUCAGUCCAAUGGGGAGUCUCAAUGAAAGGACACUAAUUUUAUACUCAACACAGAUUUCCGGGACUCGGCCUUAUAUGACCACCUAGUGGAUUUCCUUGUGAAUGGAGGGGUGGCCAACCCUUUUGCCCAUAAGCUAAUGGAGCUCAGCACAGCCCUGGAGGAGCAGGAGUACAUGACUUUUCUUGAAGACCUCAGAAGUUCUGUCAAGAGCCAGUAG